rnacentral:lncRNA from 1 species
GGAUGUGGCAAUCCUUAACUCUUGAGCUAGCUUUUGGGUUAAGUUAGGCCACAUUCCUAAUAUGGUAUCAGAGCCCAAGGUUGGCCCAACAAGCAAAUUCCCACAAAAAUGGUUUCCCACCUAUGUGGCCCAUAUAAGUGGCAUGUCUUGUUGUAUUUCCGAGAUGUUGGGCUUGGGCUGUUUCCCGUUGGACCGUUUCCCACCCACAUCUCGAGGAGGCCUAUUAGAAUGUCCCACAUUGCUUG